rnacentral:rRNA from 1 species
AUACGUAGGGGACGAGCGUUGUCCGGAAUUACUGGGCGUAAAGGGCGCGCAGGCGGAUAUUUAAGUCAGCUGUAAAAGGCAUGAGCUCAACUCAUGUAUGCGGUUGAAACUGGGUAUCUAGAGUGCUGGAGAGGUAGGCGGAAUUCCCGGUGUAGCGGUGAAAUGCGUAGAUAUCGGGAAGAACAUCAGUGGCGAAGGCGGCUUACUGGCCAGCAACUGACGCUGAGGCGCGAAAGCCAGGGGAGCGAACGGGAUUAGAUACCCCGGUAGUCCUGGCAGUAAACGAUGUAUGCUGGGUGUGUGACUAGCGAUAGUUUCGUGCCGAAGUUAACGCGAUAAGCAUACCGCCUGGGGAGUACGGUCGCAAGAUUGAAACUCAAAUGAAUUGACGGGG